GACGAACGCUGGCGGCGUGCUUAACACAUGCAAGUCGAGCGGUAAGGCUCCUUCGGGAGUACACGAGCGGCGAACGGGUGAGUAACACGUGAGUAAUCUGCCCUUCACUUCGGGAUAACCAUCGGAAACGGUGGCUAAUACCGGAUACGACGCACUCUCGCAUGGGAUGUGCGUGGAAAGUCUUAUCGGUGGUGGUUGUGCUCGCGGCCUAUCAGCUUGUUGGAGAGGUAACGGCUCACCAAGGCUUCGACGGGUAGCCGGCCUGAGAGGGUGACCGGCCACACUGGGACUGAGACACGGCCCAGACUCCUACGGGAGGCAGCAGUGGGGAAUAUUGGACAAUGGGCGAAAGCCUGAUCCAGCAACGCCGCGUGAGGGAUGACGGCCUUCGGGUUGUAAACCUCUUUCAGUACCGACGAAGCGCCAAUAACGGUGGCGACGGUAGGUACAGAAGAAGGACCGGCCAACUACGUGCCAGCCGCCGCCGUAACAC
rnacentral:rRNA from 1 species